rnacentral:rRNA from 1 species
AUGACAUAUGUUUGUUGCCUAAAUGCCAGUGAGUCUUCCUAUUUCCUGGUUGCAUGGAUGGCAUGUAUAUGUAUGCUCUUUGAAAUGGCCAUAAAGAUGUUGUUUACUGUAGAUCACAGCAAAUCAUAUGCACCUGUACACAAUAAAUACUUCAAAUUAAAUGGAGCCAUGCUAAUAACCAGCCAAAACGCCAGAUUACUAUAUGAGAGAAGGCUUUAUGAUGACGUGGCAUUGCUAUAUAGCCAGCAGCCGGCUGUGCUAUUAUCUUUGCUCGAUCACAAUUCACAAGCACACCGGCGGACGCUUCGAGUCGAAGGCUUGCAACCUCCUGCUCCUCCUCGCCCUCAAAGCCCCCCUUCCUCGCCACCGCCGCUUGCUUGCUCCGGCUGCUCGACCUCCUGA